rnacentral:sRNA from 1 species
CGCUCGUGUCGGAAGGGAAGGCCAGGGCUGGCCUGCCCGUUCGGCGCUUCGGCAGGCUGGCGCAGAACGAUGCAAGGUCGUUCGGGUCAGCAUCAGGGAUG